CGUAGGGGGCAAGCGUUGUCCGGAUUUAUUGGGCGUAAAGAGCGUGUAGGCGGCUUUGCAAGUCCGUUGUGAAAACUCGAGGCUCAACCUCGAGACGCCGGUGGAAACUGCAAAGCUAGAGUCCGGAAGAGGAGAGUGGAAUUCCUGGUGUAGCGGUGAAAUGCGCAGAUAUCAGGAAGAACACCCGUGGCGAAGGCGGCUCUCUGGGACGGUACUGACGCUGAGACGCGAAAGCGUGGGGAGCGAACAGGAUUAGAUACCCUGGUAGUCCACGCCGUAAACGAUGGGUGCUAGGUGUGGGCGGUGUCGACUCCGUCCGUGCCGAAGCUAACGCAUUAAGCACCCCGCCUGGGGAGUACGGCCGCAAGGCUA
rnacentral:rRNA from 1 species